rfam:Tritrichomonas foetus strain K scaffold_261, whole genome shotgun sequence.
GGGGUUUUAGUUUAACGGUAGAACAAAUGACUGCAAAUCAUCUGGACGUGGUUCAACUCCACGAAAUCCCU